rnacentral:rRNA from 1 species
GACGAACGCUGGCGGCGUGCUUAACACAUGCCAGUCGAACGGUGAAGCGCCUUCCUUUUUGGUGGGUGUGGAUGAGUGGCGAACGGGUGAGUAACACGUGAGUAACCUGCCCCCUUCUUCUGGAUAACCGCAUGAAAGUGUGGCUAAUACGGGAUAUUCUGGGUCUGUCGCAUGAUGGGUCUGGGAAAGAUAUUGUUUCGGUGGGGGAUGGGCUCGCGGCCUAUCAGCUUGUUGGUGGGGUGAUGGCCUACCAAGGCGGUGACGGGUAGCCGGCCUGAGAGGGUGGACGGUCACACUGGGACUGAGACACGGCCCAGACUCCUACGGGAGGCAGCAGUAGGGAAUAUUGCACAAUGGGCGCAAGCCUGAUGCAGCGACGCCGCGUGAGGGAUGGAGGCCUUCGGGUUGUGAACCUCUUUCGCCAGUGAAGCAGGCCUGCCUCGUUUGUGGGUGGGUUGACGGUAGCUGGAUAAGAAGCGCCGGCUAACUACGUG